ensembl:lncRNA LINC01626 long intergenic non-protein coding RNA 1626
UUUUUUUUCCCACUUACCUUUUCCUUUGUCAAUGUCAUAGGGUGCUAGGAAUCACUCCACUCUGAAGGAUUCCCUUGUCUUCAUGGCCCAGUUUCUCUGACACCGUGUUUAUUCUUAUGAUGACCAUGGUGGUAAGCGGGGACUUGACAAGAUCCCUUUUGCCCUUUUAUUGUCAACGGAAUUUAAUAGAACAACUUCUUUGAGGCUCUUCAAACAUGAACUCUCCAUUUCAAACUGCUUCCAAGUAUGUCACUACUAAACAGAAAUUUCUAGUGAAAGAAAUAAACCAUAUGCUGCUUUUCCCUUCAGCUUAUUUUAACCAUAUGGUACUAGAAAUCGGAAUGUUACAGUGCUAUUAAUUUAAACUCCCCGUGUUUCCAGCACUACUGUUCCCCAGUUAAUUUAAAGAAAUCUUUACUACUGGCCUGGAAAAACUGUCUUUGCCAAAUAAUUAAGAAGCAACAUGAGGAGAGAACAUGUAACUGAAAGGUGCACUCAAGUGGGCCUGAGCCUAAGAACACCACUCUAAACCCAGAGUUCACAGAACACAUACUGAACUAUUACAAGAGUUCUGUGUUUGCACUUAAUUCUGGCUUGGAACAGAGCUCACAGGUUGUCACUGAUAUCCUACUCACUGUUUUUAACAAAAGGGCUGAGUCUGGAGCAUUAUCCUUCAUUUGAAUUACACAUAUUGAGUACUUCAAAAGCUACAGAAGUUAUUUGAGACAUGAAAAUCCAUGGCUCAUAUCUCCUGCUCAGGGAACAUAAUCAACCAGGUGUCCCAGCUGCUGUUCUUCUGGGUCCGCCACUGUGUUCAUGUUAAGGCCACAUUUCCCACAGGCUACUCAAGCAGCAACUGAGCAUAACAGGACAACUAAUGCAGGUCCAUUUCUGGAACACAUGGAACUCCACAACCAGGUGACCUUGACCUAAGGACUCCCAAUUAGAGUGUCAAAAAUGCCUUGAAACUGGAUCGUGGUUUAAGAGUCUUCCUAUUCAAUCCUACAUUCCCUCUCCCUUUCACAGGGGUCAGACCUUCAUGACAGGCUGAAGAGUUCCUUCUCCUCUUCUCCCUUUUACUUUACAAACAUUUCUCCAAUAAAUUUCUUACACAUCUAA